rnacentral:tRNA from 2 species
AGAGAGGUGGCCGAGUGGUCGAAGGCGCGCGCCUGGAAAGUGCGUAGGCGGGAGACCGUCUCGAGGGUUCGAAUCCCUUCCUCUCUGCCA